rnacentral:rRNA from 1 species
CGCGGCCUACGGGGGGCAGCAGUGAGGAAUAUUGGUCAAUGGACGCAAGUCUGAACCAGCCAUGCCGCGUGCAGGAUGACGGCUCUAUGAGUUGUAAACUGCUUUUGUACGAGGGUAAACCCCGAUACGUGUAUCGGGUUGAAAGUAUCGUACGAAUAAGGAUCGGCUAACUCCGUGCCAGCAGCCGCGGUAAUACGGAGGAUCCGAGCGUUAUCCGGAUUUAUUGGGUUUAAAGGGUGCGUAGGCGGUCUGUUAAGUCAGCGGUAAACUGUCGGGGCUCAACCCCGGCCUGCCGUUGCAACUGG